UACAGAGGGUGCAAGCGUUAAUCGGAAUGACUGGGCGUAAAGGGCGCGUAGGCGGUUUAAUAAGUAAGAUGUGAGAGCCCCGGGCUUAACCUGGGAACAGCAUUUUAGACUGUUGGGCUAGAGUACAGUAGAGGGCAGUGGAAUUUUCGGUGUAGCGGUGAAAUGCGUAGAUAUCGAAAGGAACAUCAGUGGCGAAGGCGACUGCCUGGACUGAAACUGACGCUGAGGCGCGAAAGCGUGGGUAGCAAACAGG
rnacentral:rRNA from 1 species